GGCACACCACGACAGCCCAAGACACCUAGCCCCCCGCCACGCCCCCAAGGGUAUUCCAGCAGUGAUAAAAAUUAAGCAAUGAGCGCACAAGCUUGACUUAGUUAUAGAAAAUAGAGUUGGUCAAUCCUGUGCCAGCCACCGCGGUUAUACAAGAAACUCAAACUGACAGAAAACCGGCGUAAAAUGUGAUUAAAUCACGACCUAAAAAAAUUAAGGUAAAUCCCCCACUCAACUGUCAUACGUAAAAGUGUACAUCAUCUCAUUAUGAAAAUAACCUUAACCCAAUAGAACUAUUUGAACCCACGAUUGCUAAGAUACAAACUGGGAUUAGAUACCCCACUAUGCUUAGCCCUAAACUCAGAUAUUUACCACACAAAAAUAUCCGCCAGAGAACUACGAGCAAGACGCUUAAAACUCUAAGGACUUGGCGGUAUCUCAAACCCCCCUAGAGGAGCCUGUUCUACAAUCGAUAAUCCACGAUCCACCCCACCAUCCCUUGCCAAUACCGCCUAUAUACCGCCGUCACCAGCUUACCCUAUGAAGGACACAAAGCAAGCAAAAUAGUUAAAACAACUAAUAAGUCAGGUCAAGGUGUAGCUAAUUGAGAUGGAAGAAAUGGGCUACAUUUUCUAUACUAGAAAUUAAUUUACGGAAAGGGCUAUGAAACAAGCCCUAUAAGUAGGAUUUAGCAGUAAAUCGGAGUCAGAAUACCCGACUUAAGCCGGUCCUGAGAUACGCACACACCGCCCGUCACCCUCCUCAAACAACCUAAGACCUAAAUAAGCCAUAACAAAUAAACAAGAAGAGGAAAGUCGUAACAAGGUAAGUGCACCGGAAGGUGUACUUGGAACAUU
rnacentral:rRNA from 1 species